UGAAAGGUGAGUUUGGUGAUGGCUCUGAUUGAACGCUGUCCAAAUGCUUGACACAUGCUAAUCGUACGUUUAAUUUAUGCUUUUCGAAUAUUAGGUAUUUGAGCACCAUGAAUUAUAUUUAGUAGUGGUGUAAUAUCUUUCAGAGGUAUUGAAGGUUAAUUAAAAGUGGUGUACAGGUGAGUGAAAGAUAUUCGGCCGACCUUAAAGAGAGGGGAAAAUCCCUCAUAAAAAAAAAGGUGUAAUAACCGCUUUAAGAGGAAAAGGUAUCUGCGGGAUAGGUAGUAGUUAAGGUAAUGGCUUAACUAGCCAACAAUUCUCGGAGUCGUAGCUGAAAUGGUUGAUCGACCACAUUGGGGAUGAAAAAAUCCCAAGGCAAAUAUGUACAGCAGUGAGGAAUCUUGGUCAAUGGCCUAACGGCUGAACUGGCAACUUGGAUGAAUGGACCGGCUACUCUCUUUAGAAAGGGAGUAGUGCAGGAGAUCGAAUUAUCGAGUAAAGUUCUAAAUAUAUGAUUGAUAAUGACAAUAUAUAUAUUAUGUCUUGACCAAUUACGUGCCAGCAGUCGCGGCAAUACGUAUGAGACUAGUGUUAUUCAUCUUAAAUAGGUUUAAAGGGUACCCAGACGGCAAAAUCCACCUUUAAAAGGUUACUAUUUUGCUAGAGUUUUAUGUGAAGAGGUCGUACUCGUGAGUGGAGAGAUUAAAUUCUGUGAUACCUAGGGGACGGAUAAAGGCGAAGGCAGCCUCUUAUGUAAAAACUGACGUUGAAGGACGAAGGCAUUGCGGCACGAACAGGAUUAGGUACCCAAGUAGUCUUUGCAGACAAUGAUGAAUGCCAUAGGUUAGGUUAAUACUGAAUUGAAUCACUAGACCGUUUCUGACACCAGUAGUGAAGUAUGUUGUUUAAUUCGAUGAUCCACGAAAAAUCUUACCACAAUUUGAAUAGAAUAAAGUAAUUAAAAUAUGAUGAUUAGUGUUUAGCAUUGAUCCGCGGUUUUAGUAUUUUUAUUUAUACAAGUGUUGCACGGCUGUUUCCAGUUAAUGUUGUGAAACUGUGGCAAAAGCCAUGGAAUUAACGUAAACCUGAGCUUUAUUUGUAAAUAUUUUAUUUUGAUAGAGCUGAUUCGUCCAGUAUAUUGGAUCUGAUAACAGGGACUAAGACAAGUCAUCAUGGCCUUAAUAUUGUGGGCUAAAGACGUGCCACAUAUACCUAAACAAAGAGAUGCGAAAAUGCGAAUUUUAGCUAAUCUCAAAAAAUAGGAUAAAAAGGAUAUGGAUUGUAGCCUGAAAUUCGGCUGCAUGAAUAAGAAAUUGCUAGUAAUCGUGAAUCACUAUGUCACGGUGAAUCUAACCUCGGAUUGGUACUAACCACUCGUCACAUGCUGAAAGGAGUACGUGCAAUAAGUUUGCUCUCUUAUUUUAAUCCAGCGAAUAAUAGGAUUCGGGUUUUUUAAUAGGAUUCUUCGUAUGCGCGAUUCUAAUUAGUGUUAAGUCGAAAUACGGUUCAUGUAGUGGAAGUUGCAUGGGAUUGAUUAAAUAU
rnacentral:rRNA from 1 species